AUGGCUUAGUGCUCGAAAGAGAACCGUAACACAGGUGCUGCAUGGCUGUCGUCAGCUCGUGUCGUGAGAUGUUGGGUUAAGUCCCGCAACGAGCGCAACCCUUGUCAUUAGUUGCUACAUUUAGUUGGGCACUCUAAUGAGACUGCCGGUGACAAACCGGAGUAAGGUGGGGAUGACGUCAAGUCCUCAUGGCCCUUAUAGGUAGGGCUACACACGUCAUACAAUGGAUGGUACAGAGGGUUGCCAACCCGCGAGGCGGAGCUAAUCCCAUAAAACCAUUCGUAGUCCGGAUCGCAGUCUGCAACUCGACUGCGUGAAGUCGGAAUCGCUAGUAAUCGCGGAUCAGAAUGUCGCGGUGAAUACGUUCCCGGGUCUUGUACACACCGCCCGUCACACCAUGGGAGCGGGUUCUGCCAGAAGUAGUUAGCCUAACUGCAAGCAGUGCGAUUACCACGGCAGGUUUCGUGACUGGGGUGAAGUCGUAACAGUUAAGCCGUAAA
rnacentral:rRNA from 1 species